rfam:TPA: Bos taurus chromosome 14, whole genome shotgun sequence.
UCCCUGAUAGCUCAGUUGGUAAAGAAUCCGCCUGCAAUGUAGGAGACCCCGGUUUGAUUCCUGGUUCGGGAA